rnacentral:lncRNA from 1 species
CUUUUUGCUAUUUCUUGGGCUGCUCCUGCGGCAUAGGGAGCUUCCCAGGCUAGGGGUCCAAUCGGAGCUGUAGCCCCUGGCCUACGCCAGAGCCACAGCAACACGGGAUCCGAGCCGCGUCUGCAACCUACACCACAGCUCAGGGCAACGCCCGAUCCUCAACCCACCGAGCAAGGGCAGGGAUCGGACCCACAACCUCAUGGUUCCUAGUCGGAUUCGUUAACCACUGCGCCACGACGGGAGCUCCUGAUUUUGUAGACUAGUGAACAGAUCUAGUAUGAAUUCCUUCUCAAGUAUCCGCAUUCGUCACUGAAAUCCUAAGGGCACAGGACAUUGUUAUUUGGGGUGGUUCCCAUGGACCAGGGACUGUUCGAGAUGCUUUCACAUAUGAUAACUUAAUAUUCGAUCAUUCAAAGGGUAGUUUUAUCAUAUCUACUUUUAAGGAUGCGAGCUCAAGGAUAGCUAAGAACUUGCCUAAUAUUUGCACAGCAAGUACCAAGUGGCAAUCCAGAGCAGGUCUGUUCAAUUCCCGAGACCACAUGCUCCCCUGUGUCUUGCUACUUCUUGGGGAAAUGCAGAGUGGAGGGCACCCCGACCUUCCGUAGUAGCCGUUUUUUUAGGAAAUGGCCACAGACUCAGUUUCGGACUGGUUGACUCUAUCAUGAUGGAUUUCUGGGAAUCACAAUUUAAGCAUAUAUGCCUUAGGCCUAGGCAGAGAGUGUCUAAACCACCUACGACUUAAAUAAUCCUUAUAAAAAGGCCGAACCCCGGAUGAAGUGGUUCCUGUCUGGGGCAGGAAAUUCAGGGGCAGAGGCAGACAAGCACCUUAAGUGGGCAAGAGGGGAGGUGGAGGCUGUCACAUCUGACACUGGUCCCGCCUACAACCCCGCCCAGGGGGACAGGUCUUCUCAGAUUUCAAAGAGCAGCCAAAAGUCCAACUUUCCCUGGGAAAUACCCUGAUUUUUAAAUAUAGAUAAGGAGGUCAAAAGUUGAAAAUACACUUCAAAGGGCAAACAAACAGGUCUGGAAAACAAGGACCAGCCGAUGAGCUCCAGCCUACAAUCUCUGGUCUGGAGCUAACUCCCAGGAACUUAAGCAACACGGAGUAACUAGGGUAGUGUCCACUGAAGCGUAUGUCUUUGCACCCUAUUCACGUGAGGGUACAUCCUAUCACUAUUGCUGGUUUAAUUUGCUAAAGCAUGCAUCACAUCACCUUUGAUCUUAUUCAGGUUUAUGAGUUGUGGCUUGAAGGCCACAUUUUUAUAAACUGAAUUGGGCCUUUCUAUUAACGACUGGGAGGAUGCCUCAUUCUGGCACUGAGCAACUUACAAAUGAAUGAUUCCCUAGCCUUUCAGUUCAUUUCACAGGAAAAUAGAGUAAAUUCUCUGGGAAGAGACUUCAGUUUUCGUAAGCAACCCUCCUUCUUUAUAAAAACUAAUCGCAUUUGGAGAUUUCCUAAGACCUUGGUACUGAAGCAUCAAAGCUGCUGUGUUUCAGAGCAGAAAUUCUCUGGCGCGCAAUACAUACCUGAUAAUGUGUGAUUUACUAUAAAAGACACGCGUUCUAAACCAGGAAGUUGAGAACAACGAAUAGGGUUUUCAUCCCUAUUAUUUAAUGACAUGUAAUGUUAACAAGUAGAAUAACAAUGAACUAGCCAAUGAAUUGUUUUGUUUUGUUUUGUUUUAAACACUUCCACGGUCUAAAAAACACUUGACUCUCAGUAUUGGCAACACUUUAGGGAAGAUUUUCAUAUCCAUUUUACACACAGCAGGGUUAAAAAGAUAACCUCUCCCUCUGCUUUUCUUUUUGCAACGUGCACGCAUUUAUGUCGUGUUACCAAGUGAGGCAAUAUUAACCGACCAAAGCAGAAAUCAUCAUUAAAUCAACAUCACACAAUGUCACAAUGUCACCAGUCUCACCAGUCUAAUGAUGUUAAACGCAGGAUAGGCGCACAAGCAGCGGUGUGAACGGAUUAAAAUGGCACUUACAAGGAUGACCCGCAAAGAUUCCUAGUUUCAAGACCCAACAAAAGCCUCCAGGAAGUAGGCGGCAGGUUUUAGUCUCACUUAGUUUCACGGCUACGCUUUUUAACGGUAGUGUUCCACCGUAAAACAAAAGCGCACCACAGCAGCCUGGAGAAUUUUGGAGAAGAAAAGCCUCCUCUUUCCCGGAAGUCUAGCGGGGCCGAGUUGGCCGAGCGCGCGCCGCCGCCGCCGCCGCCGCCGCCACCGGGAGCGCCCCCGAGCCCCGC